ensembl:misc_RNA Metazoa_SRP Metazoan signal recognition particle RNA
ACCGGGCACAGUGGCACAUGCCUGUAGUCCCAGCUAUUUGGGAGGCUGAGGUGGGAGGAUUGCUUGAGCCCAGGAAUUCUGGGCUGUAGUGCACUAUGCUCAUUGGGUAUCUGCACUAAGUUCAGCAUCAAUAUGGUGACCUCCUGGGAGUCAGAGACCACCAGGUUGCCUAACGAGGGGUGAACAGACCAAGGAUGGAGCAGGUCAAAACUCUGGUGCUGAUCUGUAGUGGGAUCGCGCCUGUGAAUAGCCACUGCAUUCCAGCCGGGACAACAUAGCAAGACCCCGUGUCUU